UGGAGCGUGUGGUUUAAUUCGAUGCUACACGAAGAACCUUACCAGGGUUUGACAUGUAGGUGGUAGUGGAGCGAAAGCGGAACGACUCUUCGGAGAGCCUGCACAGGUGCUGCAUGGCUGUCGUCAGCUCGUGUCGUGAGAUGUUCGGUUAAGUCCGCUAACGAGCGCAACCCCUGCUGUGUGUUACAAGUGUCGCACGGGACUGCCGGUCUUAAGCCGGAGGAAGGUGGGGAUGACGUCAAGUCAGCAUGGCCUUUAUAUCUUGGGC
rnacentral:rRNA from 1 species